CUAAUGUUUAGUCCUAUCAUUUUAUUCAAUUUUAAUUUAUAAAUUGGCAAAUAUAGAAACUAAAAUAGAGUCCCUCCUCCACCACCUCCUCCCACAUAUUUUCACGAGAUUGAUCCCUCCCCAAUCUAUCUGCCCACGCGAUUCUAGGCUCCCCAAUUUUUCUUUUGUCGUGUGUGUAGGUGUUGUGGUGGAGGCAGGAAGCGGUGGUGGCGGCGGCCGGAGAGGAGGAGGCGGCGGCGUUCGAAGAGAAGGCGGGUAAGAUGGUCCCGACAAGGACUGCUGCUCCAACACUGUCGGCUCAAAUCUUGUGGGAAGUGGAGUUCGUCCGCGGCCGAAUCCUCCCGUGGGAGAUGGCCGGUGAUGGAGAUCAGGAGCGACAGUGGAGGCGACUACCGAGAUACUUUCCAUGGUGUAGGAGUUCCUCGUCAUCCCAUGGCAUGACAUGUAGGAGUUCAAUCAGAUCUAGCUGCAUCGUCUUUCUUCGGAGGUAGCGACGCUGCUGGAUCCUUCGAUGUGCCACCCACCGGUAUGUUUCAGACUUCCUAGCCAUUGAGCUGUGAAUUUUCAUUUGUUGAAUUUAGUAUUCUUUUUCUUCUUUGAACUGCCCGUAUUCUUUCUAGGGACGGCCUGAUGCAUGCCGGAACGCUUUUUAACCCAUCCCCAACCCUAGCAACAUAUUGUGCUGCCGAUAAACGAAUAGGUUUGCAGAGUGCAGACGGUGAACGAACAUUUCACGUGUGGCGAACAUACUUAGUGAUCGUGGGGUUUGUGGCACUUUAUGUUAUAAUGUGUUCUGGUUUUGUCUUCUUGAAUUAAUUAUCCGACAAUGUGCGAGAAUGUCUGCUUGAAUCUGUGAGUAUGGGAGUCUGAGUCUGUAAGACUGAGAAUGUGGUUCAAACAAAUUUCUACUGGUGUUCACGAAGUUUAAAUUCUGAAAUGAUUGAUACAGAUCCUUAAAUGCAAAACUGUAUGCAGAACUAUAUGUUCACUAACAUUAUGCAGGCAUCAGAGUUUUUGUUGAGUGAUCCGUACAUGUCCCUUGCAACUUUAAUGAUCCUGCUACUGAAGUUGAUGGAACCAGAUUUGAACACAAACUUGUGGCUCACGGCGUGCACAUAGAGAACACACAAGAGGUCAUUUAUUACGCAUGAUCACAUCCAAUCUGUGCAUUAUACUAUUUGCAUAUGCAUCACAAUCUAAAACUAUUAUCUGCACAUCUCUAGAAUCAAAGUCUGAAAAUACAUAGUCUGAGCAACAAUGAACUGAAAGGCUCAAUUACUUGUUCUCUCUAGAUAUUUGCAAAGGGUGCAUUUUAAGGAAAUCCUGGACUGUGUGGGCAGUAUUUUAAGGAAAUCCUGGACUUGUUGCCUCCCGAUCACAUUUAGUAUGUGUGGACUAUUAAAAGAGUGCCGCAGUAUUUUAAGAGAACACAGAUUACGUAGGUGCAAAGUGGGCUGCCCAUAUAAAGGCCCUUUUUCCAAAGCCCAUACACAUGUGCAAAGUGGGCUGUUUGAAGGGUGUGUUUUUUAAAAAUUUUGAGUCUAGUUUUCUGUUUUUCAGUUUUUAUUUAAGAGGGUUGUUGGAGUAUAUACAUAAUAAUUUAGGACAUAUUUGGAAGCAUCUAGAUGCUAGUUUAUAGAAAUUGAUGUGGUUCUAAACAUAUCAUACCUUAGUUUAUAAAAAUUGGAUUAUCAGUUUCUUAAAAACUAAGAAGCUGACAUCUUCUAGCUAAAAGAUAAAAACUAAUUUCUUAAAAACUGGGUUGCUUACAAACAUGAUCUUACUCUUAAAAUUUUUAGUCUGCCCUCAAUAAUUUUUUUUGUUGGAAACUUCUUAGCAUUGUUUUGAAGUUGCUCUAAUACUAGAAUCUAUCGUCUCUUAAUCUAAAGUUCAACGCAAAACUGAAGAAGUCAGAACUUCCAUAUAGGAGCCGGCAACCUUCUUGGAGCAACGAAUUUGAAAG
rnacentral:lncRNA from 1 species